GGGAGUAUAGCUUAGUGGUAGAGCGUUCAACUGAAGAUCGAGAGGUCCUCGGUUCAAACUCGGUUGCUCCCU